GACGAACGCUGGCGGCGUGCUUAACACAUGCAAGUCGAACGGAAAGGCCCUGCUUUUGUGGGUUGCUCGAGUGGCGAACGGGUGAGUAACACGUGAGUAACCUGCCCUUGACUUUGGGAUAACUUCAGGAAACUGGGGCUAUACCGGAUAUUAGCUCCUGCUGCCUGGUGGGGGUUGGAAUGUUUCGGCGGUUGGUGUUGGACUCGCGGCUUAUCAGCUUGUUGGUGGGGUUGUGGCUUACCAAGGUUUUGACGGGUAGCCGGCCUGAGAGGGUGACCGGCAACAGUGAGACAGAGAUACGGACCAGACUCAUACGGGAGGCAGCAGGGGGGAAUAGUGCACAAUGGGCGGAAGCCUGAUGCAGCAACGCCGCGUGCGGGAUGAAGGCCGUCGAGUUGUAAACCGCUUUCGCCGGUGACGAAGAGUGAGUGACGGUAAUGGGUAAAGAAGCACCGGCUAACUACGAG
rnacentral:rRNA from 1 species